rnacentral:rRNA from 1 species
UGGGGAAUAUUGCACAAUGGGCGCAAGCCUGAUGCAGCCAUGCCGCGUGUAUGAAGAAGGCCUUCGGGUUGUAAAGUACUUUCAGCGGGGAGGAAGGCGUUAAGGUUAAUAACCUUGGCGAUUGACGUUACCCGCAGAAGAAGCACCGGCUAACUCCGUGCCAGCAGCCGCGGUAAUACGGUGGGUGCAAGCGUUAAUCGGAAUUACUGGGCGUAAAGCGCACGCAGGCGGUUGAUUGAGUCAGAUGUGAAAUCCCCGGGCUUAACCCGGGAAGUGCAUCUGAUACUGGUCAGCUAGAGUCUUGUAGAGGGGGGUAGAAUUCCAUGAGUAGCGGUGACAUGCGUAGAGAUGUGGAGGAAUACCGGUGGCGGAGGCGGCCCCCUGGACAAAGACUGACGAUCAGGUGCGAAAGCGUGGGGAGCAAACAGG